UACGUAGGGCGCAAGCGUUGUCCGGAAUUAUUGGGCGUAAAGCGUCCGUAGGCGGGUCGGUAAGUGGCUAGUUAAAACCCGGGGCUCAACCCCGAGGGUGCUAGCCAGACUGCCGUCCUGGAGGUCGGCAGAGGGGGAUGGAAUUCCCGGUGUAGCGGUAAAAUGCUCAAAUAUAUAGAGGAACACCAAUUGGCGAAGGCAGUUAACUAUUCGGUUCCUGACGUUGAGGCACGAAAGCGUGGGGAGCAAGACGG
rnacentral:rRNA from 1 species